rnacentral:rRNA from 1 species
UUUAUGGAGAGUUUGAUCCUGGCUCAGGAUGAACGCUGGCGGCGUGCCUAAUACAUGCAAGUCGAGCGAACGGACGAGAAGCUUGCUUCUCUGAUGUUAGCGGCGGACGGGUGAGUAACACGUGGAUAACCUACCUAUAAGACUGGGAUAACUUCGGGAAACCGGAGCUAAUACCGGAUAAUAUUUUGAACCGCAUGGUUCAAAAGUGAAAGACGGUCUUGCUGUCACUUAUAGAUGGAUCCGCGCUGCAUUAGCUAGUUGGUAAGGUAACGGCUUACCAAGGCAACGAUGCAUAGCCGACCUGAGAGGGUGAUCGGCCACACUGGAACUGAGACACGGUCCAGACUCCUACGGGAGGCAGCAGUAGGGAAUCUUCCGCAAUGGGCGAAAGCCUGACGGAGCAACGCCGCGUGAGUGAUGAAGGUCUUCGGAUCGUAAAACUCUGUUAUUAGGGAAGAACAUAUGUGUAAGUAACUGUGCACAUCUU